rnacentral:rRNA from 1 species
CCAGACUCCUACGGGAGGCAGCAGUGGGGAAUAUUGCACAAUGGGGGAAACCCUGAUGCAGCGACGCCGCGUGAGUGAAGAAGUAUUUCGGUAUGUAAAGCUCUAUCAGCAGGGAAGAAAUAGCGACCUUUGGGUCGCCAGACGGUACCCGAUUAAGAAGCCCCGGCUAACUACGUGCCAGCAGCCGCGGGCAUACGUAGGUGGCAAGCGUUGUCCGGAUUUACUGGGUGUAAAGGGCGUGCAGCCGGGAGGACAAGUCAGAUGUGAAAUCCCGCGGCUCAACCGCGGAACUGCAUUUGAAACUGUUUUUCUUGAGUACCGGAGAGGUCAUCGGAAUUCCUUGUGUAGCGGUGAAGUGCGUAGAUAUAAGGAAGAACACCAGUGGCGAAGGCGGAUGACUGGACGGCAACUGACGGUGAGGCGCGAAAGCGUGGGGAGCAAACAGGAUUAGAUACCCCCGUA